rnacentral:lncRNA from 1 species
CUUGUUUCAUUUUAGCCUUAGGUUUAAAAAAAAAAAAACAGCAGCCUUUCUCUCCUCUCUUGCAGCCUUUUGUUUGGCCGACCAAGGGAGGCACCGUCCCACCGCCGCACCGCCACUGAACACGAUGGCCGACGACGCGCGAGGGCAGGCUUUAAGCCGUGUUUCAAGGCGUCCCUGAAGGCUGAGCCUUCUCAGCCCAAAAGUUGCGAAAGAAAAGGUCUUCCCCUCCUUAUUCGACCCGAUCCCGACGACGAAGGAGAACCCUCCGGCGACGAGACGACGAGCGAUUCCGGUAAAGCCUUCUUCCCUCCUUAUUAUUUUUGUUUUAUGUCUACUUUUAUUUAAUAGAUUUGUAUUAAAAUCAAAAGAAAUAUUAGAGAAAUAAAAAGAAACGAAAUGAAAAUAAAGAGAGAAGAAUAAGAUAUCAACCUUUUGUGUUUUUUUUUUUUGAUUUCCAGUGUUCGUAACCGAUUACAAAUGAUAGAUUUUGGCUUUUAAAAGCCAAUUUACAAACCGUUCAUUCCAUGUUUUUUGUUCUUUAGCUAUUUAUUUCUUCUGCAUGCUCUCUGUUGUUGUGUUGGAUUUGAUUGCAGGUGUCUGAGGUGUGAAAAGCCGGUGGUUGGCUGGUGAGAAGGCGAGGCGGUGCGCGUGGGGGCUGAACGGCUGCUGCAUCUUGAGGAAGGGUUUGCUGCUAAAAAACCUUAAGCAAGUGGUUUGAUGUAAAUUGGGCUAUUUAAUAUUGUAAAUGGGCUAUUUAUUUUGGACUCUUUUUUUAUUGUUUUGGGUUUUGUUAUAUUUUGUUGGCCAGGCCAAAAUUGGCUAUAACAAAAAGCAUGCUGUGCAGAUUUUAGAGAAGUUAAAACGAGCUUUAAACCUCUUAAAAUUUAGAUAGAGUUUGAAGUUAUGGACUAAAUUAUUAAACUUUAAAGCUUUGGAUAAGUAUCGAUACCAAGUAAAUAGGUAUCGAUAUUUUAUAAUGAGUAUUGAUACGAAAAUAUUUACCGAUAUCAUUUCGGUAUUCUGCCAAUUCAAAGUAUCAAUAUUAUUUCAAGGUAUUGAUAUAAAUUAGAAAAUACCAAUACUAAAAGAACUUAUCAAUACCAAAUAUGUAUUCUUGAAAUUGUUCAAUUGGUUUGGUACUGAUACUUUGGUCCAUUUUAUCGAUACUUAUAUCAAAAAGGUCAAAAAACACAAGUUGAAAAGUCCAUUUUAUGCACAAACCUAACUUAUUUCAUAUACACAUAUAGGUCGCAUUUAUCAUGUAUAAAAACUAAUUCAAUUCACUACAAUAUGCCAAAAACAACAACUAAAACCUUCUAUCUUAAAUGUCUAACCAAUGUGCCACAAUUGGCACUCCAAAUCAAACAUUCACAAGCUAUCAAAUAAUACUAUUUAAGCACCAUUCAAUAUCCAUAUCCAUAUAGAAUACAAUCAACUAACCUUAACAAGCUUAUACAAAAUGAAUCAUUUCAAUCAAAACAUCAUUCAUCAUUUUACAAACUUAUACCAAUCUUUAAAGUCAUUUUAUCUUAUCCCACUUUAUAAAUAUCAGCCUAGUCUAUCUAGUUGGUUCCUAAUAAGUUACUUUACAACCUAACUAGCACAUUACUUUAGACAAACAAGGUGUACUAUACCUUUGGCGAUAAUUCAUAUUAUACUUUCCUGUUUUUGCUUAACACUAUCUUUUCUUUUAAAUAGCAGAAUAUCCUAAAAUAAAAUCUUCACUUACUUACAUGGUAGCUACAAUACUCCCACACCUAUGCGCCAAAAGAAACAUAUGGGUGGAUUACACUUCAUCAAACAAACUAUUUUGCCACUAUAGGCCAAAAUCUUAGGUUUGCCAGGCUUAGGGUGUGAUAAGAUAGGAUUAGGAAUAAAUCAUAUCUACAAUGGGUUUAAGAAACUUUACUUGCAGAAGCAUGGAAUUACUUGUAUUAUAGUUUUUUUUUCUAUUUAACCCUUGGAAGAUGGGGUCUACUUUCGAGUAAUGUAAUGACUUACUAAGUUCAUCCAAACUUAUCAGAGUGUGACAUGUGUUUUGUAGGAUUUUUGGAACAAAGGACUUGAGGAGGGAUCAAGCCAGACAGUGUUGGAUCAAGGAGCUCAGUUAGUAAAGUGUCAUGCACAUAAUAAGGGGUACCUUUAGGAAUUUCGACAAAAAUGGCGACUUUGUUGAAUUUAGGUAGCCCGGAGAAGGGACAAUGGAUCCUAUAUAAAGUUUUAUCUUUGUUGUAAGUUUUUAUAAAUAUGUAAUACAAUAUGUUUUUAACUUAAUGAGACCUUAGUAUGAACAAUAACCUAUUCAGCUGUGACACCACACCCGGAUCUGAC